GCGCCUACGGGGGGCAGCAGUGGGGAAUAUUGGGCAAUGGAGGAAACUCUGACCCAGCAACGCCGCGUGAAUGAUGAAGGUCUUCGGAUUGUAAAGUUCUUUUCUAAGGGAAGAAGAAAGUGACGGUACCUGCAGAGGAAGCCACGGCUAACUACGUGCCAGCAGCCGCGGUAAUACGUAGGUGGCAAGCGUUGUUCGGAAUAACUGGGCGUAAAGGAUGCGUAGGCGGUUAAAAAAGUUAUAUGUUAAAUAUA
rnacentral:rRNA from 1 species